rnacentral:rRNA from 1 species
GAGUUUGAUCCUGGCUCAGGACGAACGCUGGCGGCGUGCUUAACACAUGCAAGUCGAACGAGAAUCUACUGAAAGAGUUUUCGGACAAUGGAAGUAGAGGAAAGUGGCGGACGGGUGAGUAACGCGUGAGGAACCUGCCUUGAAGAGGGGGACAACAGUUGGAAACGACUGCUAAUACCGCAUGAUGCAUAAGGGUCGCAUGAUUCUUAUGCCAAAGAUUUAUCGCUUCAAGAUGGCCUCGCGUCUGAUUAGCUAGUUGGCGGGGUAACGGCCCGACCAAGGCGACGAUCAGUAGCCGGACUGAGAGGUUGAACGGCCUCAUUGGGACUGAGAUACGGCCCAGACUCCUACGGGAGGCAGCAGUGGGGAAUAUUGGGCAAUGGGCGCAAGCCUGACCCAGCAACGCCGCGUGAAGGAAGAAGGCUUUCGGUAUGUAAACUUCUAUCAGCAGGGAAGAAAAUGACGGUACCUGACUAAGAAGCCCGGCUAACUACGUGCCAGCCGCCGCCGUAAC